GCCGCGGCCAAGCUGUAGACCAGGAAGAAGCGGAACUGGAAGCGGAUCCUGUCGCCGGGGGCCGCCGCCCGCAUCCAGAGCCCGCAGUCGGUGUCCGGGGCCACGAAGUAGAACCUGCGCGAGGCGGCGUGCGAGCGCAGCAGCAGCCCGUCCCCCUGCCACGUCUGCCCGCAGAGGUCCACCAGGUCGGCUGCAGGGAAAAGCACGGAUUCGGGAACCGCGCGGCCUGGUUCUGAGCCCUGCCCGCUGUGUGACCCCCAAAGCAGAUGCAGCCAGGGCAGCUGCCCCCAACAGGAGCAGCCUUUGGGGCAGCUGCGGGAGACAAGCCUCCAUCCAGGCCCUGCUGUGCCCAGCAGUGGGGCAGACCUGCAGAAUCUUCGGUUUGGGGUCUUUGGGGAGACCAGGUUGUGGGGACCUGGCUGGCAGGACACGAGGAGCAAGGGAGAGGGCCCAGGAUGAAGGCUGGCAAAACUUCAGCUGUGAUGCUGUGAUUUAUAAAAAGCAAUACAUAUUUGGGGGGUGCCUGGCUGGCUCCAUCGGUUAAGCAUCCGACUUCGGCUCAGGUCAUGAUCCUGCGGUUUGUGAGUCCGAACCCCACGUUUGUCAGCAGGUUCUCGUGAGUCCAAACCCCGCAUCUGCAGCCUGGAGCCCAGUGCAGAUCCUCUGUCCCUCCUCCCCGCACCCCCCACCCUUACCACUCUGUGCACCUCCCCCGUUCACUCUCGCUUUCUCUCAAAAAUAAACGUUAAAAAAAUAAAUACAUACAUGUUGGUCUUCCUUCAUUCUUCCCAGA